UCACUGUUAUACUUGGAGGCCGUGUCACCUGAGAGUCAAUGGGCAACGAUCAAAUUUCACCGUGAGCAGGUUCUUUUGUUUGCUUUCUAGUCACAAAUAGCCUGGCCCUAAGUGGUGGCUCCCAUUCUUGUAAGAUGCGUUGAUUCAGCGUGUAAUCACCAGUUCCCUGUAGUGGGGGUGUGGAUGGAGUGUCAGAGGUUCCUGCUGGUCUUUAGGGUGCCUGGCCUCCAGGAAUCCUAGACGUAGUAUUUGGAGAGAUUUUUUAAAGCUUUGUUUCUGUGACCAGCAAAACCUGGGUUUGACACUGAGGUCAGCCUGUUUCAGCCAGUGACUUAACCUGUCUUUUUGCUCCAAUAAAUCGGGAACAACAGCACUCGAUGUUAGAGUUGUUGUGAAGAUUAAAGAAGGUAAUGACUGGACAACUCCCAGCCCAGUACCUGAAACUGUACCAGCACCCAGUGAGAAUUGCUAUUCCUGUGACUGCUACACAUUUACCUUAUCUCAGCGGGGUGCCUGUGUCGCUUUUUUGGCACUCUUUUCUCAUGGGUACAUUCAGAAAAGAGCAAUGUUUGUUCACUGGUGAAGAGAACAUCCUGUGUACUAUCGUGUAGAAGUUGUAGUAGAUGCUGGGUCUUUCCAACAACAAACAAAGAGGGAGGUAUCCAGAAAGGCUAGUGGAAGAGGCAGGGUUUGGGAUUUAUUUGCAGAGAGGUUAGGCGUUCAGACAUGUGGAAAGAUAGAUGAAAGGAAAGUGCAUCUGAGGCUGAACAAGUGACAAAAGGAGAAGCCACUGUGCCUGUCGAAAGAACAAUGAAUAAUCCAGAAUUGAUAGAUAAGUAAGACUGGGGAAGGAAAAGAAAGGAAGACACAGCCUCUGAGAGCUGGACAAAGACACAAAUGGGAUAGAGGCUGCGGCUGUUAAACCCUCAGGACUCAGCGAUUAUUUCAUGUGGAGACAAGUGAUGGCAAAGCCAAAAGGCCAUGGGUGUUGAGCUGUUGAUGAGAAACUGAAAGUGCCAUUGUGUUUAUACGGGAAGCUGCCAUUAGUAGGGAUUUGAAAAAGCAAGAGGAGAGGGUGAGUUUAGUGGGGAGUUCUUACACUUCAGGUGCUAGUGGAUACCGCCAAGUCAAUAUUGAGUAGAAGGAAACCGGGGCUUGAUGUUCCGUCAGGUCAUCAGGACGGAGACAUUGUGGAGAGGAAGCUUUUGAGGCUGUGAGAUUAGGAGAGAAGCAUGGAGUGUAGAGCAGGCACUAGGCCUCUCUUCACCCAAAAUCCAAAACCCCACUUAUGCCAGACACACCCAAUACUUUCUGCUGAGAUCCUCAAUUCUCUUAAAGUUUUCAUAAUAAGGCCGGGCGGGGUGGCUAAUGCCUGUAUUCCCAGCACUUUGGGAGGCCGAGGCGGGGGGAUCACCUGAGGUCAGGAGUUCAAGACGAGUCUGGCCAACAUGGUAAAAACCUGUCUCUACUAAAAAUACAAAAAUCAGCCGGGCUUGGUGGUAGGCGCCUACAGCUAGUCGUAAGGCUGAGGCAUGGGAAUUGCUUGAACCCAGGAGGCAGAGGUUGCAGUGAGCCAAGAUCAUGCCACUGCACUCCAGCCUGGGGGAUAGAGCGAGACUCUGUCACAAUAAAAAAAAAAGUUUUCAUAAAUUGGGAUGUUUCCUCUAUUCCUUCCCCUGUCUCAUUCUUGAGGGAUUGAAGAUAGUGUUUGAAAUCUCAUUGGCAACCCUUCCUGCUCCCUUUCCCAGCAUUUCCAUGACCUUAUCCACUCUAACAAGCCCUGUUUCCUCCCUGCUUCUGCCACUCGCUGAACACAGCACCUUGGCAUUGCUGUCCUACAUACUCCAUUCUAGCCAUGACAGCUCUUCUGGAACACAAUCUCCUACUACCCGCUAGGUCUGAGUGACUAACAUAAAAUUCUCCCUGGUCUGUCAGUAUUUGAAAUACAGUCGCUUGUCUUGAAAUGUUUAUUGUCACUUGUUCUUGGUAUAAGAUGAGCAUUUAAAGUACACACACACACAAACACACACACACACACACACACACAUAUACAGGUAUAUCUAAGGGUUUACUAUGUGCCAAGAAGCGUGCUGGAAUCCUUUCAUAAAUAUGUCCUCCAUCAUUCCUGAGAACAAUCCUAUUAAAAUGUGAUGUGAAUGCAUUUCUCAUUCAUUAAGUGUGUGUG